ACGAACGCUGGCGGCAUGCCUAACACAUGCAAGUCGAACGAGACCUUCGGGUCUAGUGGCGCACGGGUGCGUCACGCGUGGGAAUCUGCCCUUAGGUUCGGAAUAACUCCCCGAAAGGGGUGCUAAUACCGGAUAAUGUCUUCGGACCAAAGAUUUAUCGCCUUUGGAUGGGCCCGCGUUGGAUUAGCUAGUUGGUAGGGUAAAAGCCUACCAAGGCGACGAUCCAUAGCUGGUCUGAGAGGAUGAUCAGCCACACUGGGACUGAGACACGGCCCAGACUCCUACGGGAGGCAGCAGUGGGGAAUAUUGGACAAUGGGCGAAAGCCUGAUCCAGCAAUGCCGCGUGAGUGAUGAAGGCCUUAGGGUUGUAAAGCUCUUUUACCCGGGAUGAUAAUGACAGUACCGGGAGAAUAAGCUCCGGCUAACUCCGUG
rnacentral:rRNA from 1 species